rnacentral:rRNA from 1 species
AUGACCCAAGUUGCGGCCCAACCAUCAGUGCCGCUUUUGGAUAAGGUGAUUUCUUCGUUUGGAGGUUAUUCUCAACUGAUUAUGGACUCUGCUGGGGAUUCUGCUAGGUUUAAUGAUAUUAUUGAUGAUAUUGUGUUCAACGUGUUGAAGUGCCAAAACUGUUUGUCUAUGUUGCACCACACAAAUUCGUGCACCAAGCAGGUCAGAUGCCGUCAUUGCUUUAAAUUGGGCCACAGAGCCAAGGGGUGUUCCGGCUCUGCGCCUUCCCCAACUUACAGGUGGGUCCCAAGAGCCAAUUCGGUUUCUCGGGAACGGUCAGCGGAGAUAUACUCGCCCGACGCCUCGGUUCCCACCCUGGGAUCUCUGCCUAGUCCAAUCACGCCUGCCACCCCAUCGCUUCUGCCAUUGCCCGCAGAGCCACCGCCCACCGAGCCUCUGCCACCUACCUCAACGCCGCCGCCCACCAUACCACCAACUCCAUCAUCGCCACCGCCCAGCUUGCCGCCUUCCCCCAGGGCUACAUCCUCGCCAACAGAGCUUCCUCUGAAUCUAACAAUGGCCACCUUUGCUCUCAACCCCACACCGUUCGUCCCGCAUGGUUUUGAGAUCAUCGAUGGUGGUCCGCGGAGGCUCCCGCGCACCUUCUAG